rnacentral:rRNA from 1 species
GACGAACGCUGGCGGCGUGCUUAACACAUGCAAGUCGAACGGAAAGGCCCUUCGGGGUGCUCGAGUGGCGAACGGGUGAGUAACACGUGGGUGAUCUGCCCUGCACUUUGGGAUAAGCCUGGGAAACUGGGUCUAAUACCGAAUAUACCUCGCUGGUUGCAUGACCUGGUGGGGGAAAGCUUUUGCGGUGUGGGAUGGGCCCGCGGCCUAUCAGCUUGUUGGUGGGGUGAUGGCCACCAAGGCGACGACGGGUAGCCGGCCUGAGAGGGUGUCCGGCCACACUGGGACUGAGAUACGGCCCAGACUCCUACGGGAGGCACCAGUGGGGAAUAUUGCACAAUGGGCGCAAGCCUGAUGCAGCGACGCCGCGUGGGGAUGACGGCCU